rnacentral:lncRNA from 1 species
GCUCCACUUGUGUGUUUGGCUCAGCUCAAGCUCUUGAACUGGAGGAGCUCAGUGUGAAGUCAUCUACAACUGAGGAUGAGCUGAGGCAGCACCAGACUACAGUGGGGAACUUAACAGGAAAGGUGAAGGAGAUACAACAAGAGAAUUCAGUCCAAGCUUCGGAGCUCCGGGACCUUGCCAUGAGGUCAAAUUCCACUGAAGGCCUAGUUGAGGAACAGCAGACUGCUUUGGGAACACUGGAAUAUGAAACACAGACACUGAAGACAGAAAAUGCAGGUAGGCUGAAGUGAGGGUGAAAACACUGCCUAUGGUCUGUUCCAACCAAGAUGGGUUUUGUUGUUGAUACUGGGGAUUAUUUAUGUUUUAACACUAUGAUUACUAAUAGAUAGAUGGAUAGAAAGAUAUGGCCAACUGAACAAGAUGACCAACUGAAAGAGUAGUUGUUGUCAUUUUUAGGCUGUGCACUGACUCCAGUACAAAGCAGAGGCACUAAAUGUGAAGGAAAUGUGAAGUAAGUUAUUGCUUGUGUUCAGGGAUAUUUAAGGAGCUGGUUAGCACAAACAUACCUCAAGAUC